UGAAUUCAAUUUGAAUCUAAUACUGAAUAAUACAAUUAAAAUUAAAAUUCAUUCCAAAUUCACUUAUUAUUAUCGAAUUCUUUUUAUUAAAAUUUUAUCGGGUUAGAUACCCGAAAAUACGGUCCGACGCCGUUCCCAGCUUUUAUCUCUUUCUCCGCGGUCCUAAUCUCUAUGUCAAUAAUGGUUUGCAGAGGCAGAAACAAUAAUGAUUCUGGUGAUGUCCCAUUCUUUUUCUUGUUCUGAUGCAACUAUUUCCACCAUUGCAUGUGGAAUAUUCCAGCUGGAACCUAUUUUACAAAAAGGAAAUAGAAAUUAAUCUGCUAUAUUGUCAGUUUGUUUAGUUAUUAAUCGAUAAAGCCAAAAAAAAAAAAAAUUGAAAUUGACUAAAAUCGAUCGCGAAGUCAAAAAAAUGUCAUCCACUUUCUAUAAUUAAGUUUACCUUUAUGGUUAACCUCAUCAUAUACGUAAAACCUGAUUCACCGACCAAAUUGUGUCUUGCUUCUAUCUGAACACUGAGAGUCUUUGGAUCUGAGAGCCUAUAAUUAAGAUGUGAAUUCAAAUUCCUGCAACUGCUCUUUCUUUAAUUACUACUCUUCAGUAAUUUUGCUGCUGAAUAUUGUCUUUAAAUGUACUCUUAUGGGUUUAAAGGACAUUCAGAAAAGUGAUGGCAAACUGCAUGAUUUGUUCCUUAUUUAAGAGGCAAACUUCAAAUGAGUGCCUGAAGAAGAAAGCAACCAGCUCGUUGUUGAGACGGUGAAAGUAGGCAUAUAAUCGAGGGGGAGCCAAAUCAAAAGUAGCUUAGGCCAUUUUGGUGGAGGUGACCCGGCAUGAAGCCCAAUAUCACGCCUCAAAGACCCAAUUGGAAAUAAAGAUGAUGAAGCCCAAUUGAUGCAAAAGUCCAACAAGCCUAGUAUUGAAGUCCAAUCAAGUGAAGUCCAUGGAUCCAAAAAUUCAAGGAAAAUUUUCACAAAUACGGAAAAUUGUGCAUAUUAUAAAAAAUACUCUCACAAAAUUUAUUAAUAAAAGAUCGAAAUCUUUCAAAAUAAUAUAAACUAUAAUUGAAAUUUUUAAAAAUAAUAUAGAAAAUACUUGAUUUUUUUGAAAUAAAGCAUAAAAUCUAAAAAACAAAGAAUAAAUCAAUACAGAUCCACUUGAUCAAAUAAAAAAUAAAUAAAUUGAUGAAACUUUAUUUUCCGAAUCGAUUUUAAAGCCAAAAUCUAUAACUAUAUUCAAAAAAAUCAGAAAAAAAAUUAGUUUCGAAUCUUUAAAAUAAAAUU
rnacentral:lncRNA from 1 species